rnacentral:misc_RNA from 1 species
CACAUUGAACAUCGAUAUCUUGAACGCAUAUUGCGGGCUCGGGCAUUCCCGAGGCCACGCCUGUCUCAGGGUCGGUUGAAAGUCGAUCGCGAAGCGCCACCCGCCCUCGUAGACCGCGAGGGAUCGGCGGGCCUAGCGCAUUGGGCGUCGGAGACGAAACGACCCGCUCGUGCGAGUCCGUCUCCGUCGCCUGAAGACCAGAUCCGUUCGUUGCUCGUCGUCGCGACUCUGUUCGCCGACGCCCGGACGACAAAUCUACUCGAUAUUCGUUGAGCACGGUAUGUCGUCUCGGGCGUCGGCGGCUCGUCGCAGUCUUACU